rnacentral:rRNA from 1 species
UAACGAAUCUUCCGCAAUGCGCGAAAGCGUGACGGAGCAAUGCCGCGUGCAGGAUGAAGCUCCUCGGAGUGUAAACUGCUGUCAGGGUUUAGCAACACAAUGAGCAGACCCAAAGGAAGGGCCGGCUAACUUCGUGCCAGCAGCCGCGGUAAUACGAAGGGCCCGAGCGUUGCGCGGAAUCACUGGGCUUAAAGCGUACGCAGGCGGGCGCGCAGGCGUUUUGUGAAAGCCCUCGGCUCAACCGAGGAACUGCUUGACGAACCGCGCGUCUCGAGGCAGGUAGGGGCCGUCGGAACGAUAGGUGGAGUGGUGAAAUGCGUUGAUAUCUAUCGGAACGCCGAAGGAGAAAUCAGGCAGCUGGGCCUGUUCUGACGCUGAGGUACGAAAGCGUGGGGAGCGAACGGGAUUAGAUACCCCGGUAGUCCACGCUGUAAACGAUGUGCACUAGAUCGAGGGGGUUCUGGACACCGCUCUCGGUCGAAGCGUAAA